rnacentral:rRNA from 1 species
UACGUAGGGUGCAAGCGUUAAUCGGAAUUACUGGGCGUAAAGCGUGCGCAGGCGGUUAUGUAAGACAGUUGUGAAAUCCCCGGGCCCAACCUGGGAACUGCAUCUGUGACUGCAUAGCUAGAGUACGGUAGAGGGGGAUGGAAUUCCGCGUGUAGCAGUGAAAUGCGUAGAUAUGCGGAGGAACACCGAUGGCGAAGGCAGGUCUCUGGGCUGACACUGACGCUCAUGCACGAAAGCGUGGGGAGCAAACAGG